CUCAUACUUCUCACUCCAAACAUCGUCUAAAACAAUCAAAUACCUCUUCCCCCUCAAUUGUUCCCUCAAUGCCACUUGAAGCAAAUUUAAAUCCUUUAAAUUGAAAUCCUUCAUAGUUAUGGCCUCAAGAAUCGUUUUUGUCACCCUAACAACAUCAAAGUCCUCAGAAACACAACACCAAACUUUUAAAUCAAACCAAUCCACUACUCUGCUGUCAUUGUAGACAAUCUGCGAAAGAGUGGUUUUGCCCACUCCGCCCAUGCCAACUACAGGAAUCACACAAACCCUAUCAUGACAGCCUUCUCUGCUCAGCAGCAACUGAAUAAUCUUCUCUUUCUCCUCUGCCCUACCACACACUACACGUUCAUCUACCAAAGAACUAGUGGGUAAUCUUUUCAACGAUUUACGACUCCCAUCAUCGGCACCAUUCUCUCUCAGCUCUAAACUAUUCUUUUUCUCAAUAAGUUCUUGAAAUUUAGCGUUAAUAGUCUCAAUCUCAGACUUCAUUUUCAUAUUAAAAAGGACACGAUGAGGAUUCAAAUGAUCCAAAAAUCUAAGCAUAACACUCCACACCUUACUCGAGCUCCCUUCUCCUCGUCGCUGCUCAACUUGUUGUUUCCGUCGCAAAACCUCGAAAGAAAACUCGUCGAGGAUGUCUUCCGCAUCGUAAGCCAAGUCUCGAAGCUCUCUCAGCCAAAUCUGAACAAGACGAUUACUGAUUUGCUUCUCUUCAGCAUCUGCAAGCACCGCCUUGAUUUUGGUAAGCGUUUUCUCCAGUUUCUCCAGCUCCGAAUGGACCUGGGCUCCGCCAACAGAAUCUAGAAGGCCUGGAGAGGUC
rnacentral:misc_RNA from 1 species